UGAGCCUUGGCACUGCCACC
rnacentral:misc_RNA from 1 species